AUCCUUUUCUGGUUCAUAAGCAUGAUGAUUGGGUUUUCACGCGUCUGUGUGAUAUGUGCCUCCCUUAAUACUUGUUACCAUGCCGGCACAUUACCCAUCUGACA
ensembl:snoRNA